rnacentral:tRNA from 1 species
GACCCCGUAGCUCAGCAGGAUAGAGCGGCAGAUUCCUAAUCUGUAGGUCGGACGUUCGAAUCGUCUCGGGGUCACCA